AUUGAACGCUGGCGGCAGGCCUAACACAUGCAAGUCGAGCGGAUGAAGGGAGCUUGCUCCUGGAUUCAGCGGCGGACGGGUGAGUAAUGCCUAGGAAUCUGCCUGGUAGUGGGGGAUAACGUCCGGAAACGGGCGCUAAUACCGCAUACGUCCUGAGGGAGAAAGUGGGGGAUCUUCGGACCUCACGCUAUCAGAUGAGCCUAGGUCGGAUUAGCUAGUUGGUGGGGUAAAGGCCUACCAAGGCGACGAUCCGUAACUGGUCUGAGAGGAUGAUCAGUCACACUGGAACUGAGAAACGGUCCAGACUCCUACGGGAGGCAGCAGUGGGGAAUAUUGGAAAAUGGGCGAAAGCCUGAUCCAGCCAUGCCGCGUGUGUGAAGAAGGUCUUCGGAUUGUAAAGCACUUUAAGUUGGGAGGAAGGGCAGUAAGUUAAUACCUUGCUGUUUUGACGUUACCAACAGAAUAAGCACCGGCUAACUUCGUG
rnacentral:rRNA from 1 species